UGAACGCUGGCGGCAGGCCUAACACAUGCAAGUCGAGCGGAUGACAGGAGCUUGCUCCUGAAUUCAGCGGCGGACGGGUGAGUAAUGCCUAGGAAUCUGCCUGGUAGUGGGGGACAACGUUUCGAAAGGAACGCUAAUACCGCAUACGUCCUACGGGAGAAAGCAGGGGACCUUCGGGCCUUGCGCUAUCAGAUGAGCCUAGGUCGGAUUAGCUAGUUGGUGAGGUAAUGGCUCACCAAGGCGACGAUCCGUAACUGGUCUGAGAGGAUGAUCAGUCACACUGGAACUGAGACACGGUCCAGACUCCUACGGGAGGCAGCAGUGGGGAAUAUUGGACAAUGGGCGAAAGCCUGAUCCAGCCAUGCCGCGUGUGUGAAGAAGGUCUUCGGAUUGUAAAGCACUUUAAGUUGGGAGGAAGGGCAUUAACCUAAUACGUUAGUGUUUUGACGUUACCGACAGAAUAACGCACCGGCUAACUCUGUGCCA
rnacentral:rRNA from 1 species